UACGAAGGGGGCUAGCGUUGCUCGGAAUCACUGGGCGUAAAGCGCGCGUAGGCGGCUUUGUAAGUUAGAGGUGAAAGCCCGGAGCUCAACUCCGGAACUGCCUUUAAAACUGCAUCGCUUGAAUCCAGGAGAGGUGAGUGGAAUUCCGAGUGUAGAGGUGAAAUUCGUAGAUAUUCGGAAGAACACCAGUGGCGAAGGCGGCUCACUGGACUGGUAUUGACGCGUGAGGUGCGAAAGCGUGGGGAGCAAACAGG
rnacentral:rRNA from 1 species